rnacentral:rRNA from 1 species
GAUGAACGCUGGCGGCGUGCCUAAUACAUGCAAGUCGAGCGAAUGGAUUAAGAGCUUGCUCUUAUGAGGUUAGCGGCGGACGGGUGAGUAACACGUGGGUAACCUGCCCAUAAGACUGGGAUAACUCCGGGAAACCGGGGCUAAUACCGGAUAAUAUUUUGAACUGCAUGGUUCAAAAUUGAAAGGCGGCUUCGGCUGUCACUUAUGGAUGGACCCGCGUCGCAUUAGCUAGUUGGUGAGGUAACGGCUCACCAAGACAACGAUGCGUAGCCGACCUGAGAGGGUGAUCGGCCACACUGGGACUGAGACACGGCCCAGACUCCUACGGGAGGCAGCAGUAGGGAAUCUUCCGCAAUGGACGAAAGUCUGACGGAGCAACGCCGCGUGAGUGAUGAAGGCUUUCGGGUCGUAAAACUCUGUUGUUAGGGAAGAACAAGUGCUAGUUGAAUAAGCUGACACCUUGACGGUACCUAACCAGAAAGCCACGGCUAACUACGUGCCAGCCGCCGCAGUAA